UAAACGGAAAUGAAGAACCACAGAGGAGAAGAUCAGAGACCGUCCAUUCUAUUCUUUCUUUUUUCUUUUAAAUAAAACACAAUCUUGUCUAUAAAUUCCAAAUACUCUUCAUUCUUCAUUUUCACAAGUUCAUAAGUCUCUCAAGCAAGUUUCUUCUAUCAACAUCACUAAAAAUCAGAAUUCAAAGUUGUCUCUUAUACGUACAACAAUUCAAUAAAUCAAGAUAUGGCGUCUAAUCAUGGAGAAAACGCGAAUUUUAGUGAGCAUCAUACAGAAGCAGCAACACGGGUAACAUAUUUACUGUCAUAUUUAAAUUUGUUGUUUUGUUAGAAAUUAAUUAAUAUUAAAUUAUCAAUUUUAAAAAAUUUUAGAAUGAAGACCAUUUGAAAUGGGACCAUAGAAGAGAACGAAUGUUUAUUGAGUUGUACGAACACACAUUUGCCAUGAAUAAAUAUCGUCUAAAAGAUCCGUCACCUCAUGGGAAAGAGUUUAUAGUUGACAAGUUCAACUAAGAGUUUAAUCUUGAUAUAAACUACAAGUUUUUCCGAGAAAAACUUGAUCAAAUGAAAAGAAAGUACAAGAAGUAUACAAAUUUUAUGCACAACUCAACGGGUAUCUCAGUUGAUCCUGUUACAUCAAUGAUUUCUGCAUCUGUUUCAUGGUGGAAAGAUAGUGAAGUGUGUAAGAUUAUAAAGUCAUUUAAGCGAAAGCCACCAGAGUUUUGGGAUAUUAUGCAAUGAUGUUUCAAAUUAUAUGACGUCUGUUCGCAAUCUUAAUACUCUGUGAACCAAAGAAGAGAAGAGAUUAUGAACGAAAAGUUAGCAAAUGAUGAAAGUUAUCUCAAUUCAGAAAUGUUUGGUGAUGACAUGGCAGAAAUUCAAGUUCCAGAAACACAAAAAAUGAAGAUGUAUAUCGUGUUAACAUUGACGAUCAAACACGACCUACCAGUGAGUUUACUCGUGAAUCCAUGCGUUAAGAUAUGUCAAUUUCUUGAUUUCUCAAUUGUUUUUAUUCAUCGUUCUGAAAAUGUAUCAUUUGAUUAUUUAGUUAAGAUAGCAAAAUCCUUCUAUAGAGACAUGUACUACAUUGGUUGUUUUAUUCCGGUCUAGUUUUCCAAACCACCUCAAGCUUGAAUAAUA